rnacentral:rRNA from 2 species
CCGAACCGACUAAUGUUGAAAAAUUAGCGGAUGACCUGUGGCUGGGGGUGAAAGGCCAAUCAAACCGGGAGAUAGCUGGUUCUCCCCGAAAGCUAUUUAGGUAGCGCCUCGUGAAUUCAUCUCCGGGGGUAGAGCACUGUUUCGGCUAGGGGGCCAUCCCGGCUUACCAACCCGAUGCAAACUGCGAAUACCGGAGAAUGUUAUCACGGGAGACACACGGCGGGUGCUAACGUCCGUCGUGAAGAGGGAAACAACCCAGACCGCCAGCUAAGGUCCCAAAGUCAUGGUUAAGUGGGAAACGAUGUGGGAAGGCCCAGACAGCCAGGAUGUUGGCUUAGAAGCAGCCAUCAUUUAAAGAAAGCGUAAUAGCUCACUGGUCGAGUCGGCCUGCGCGGAAGAUGUAACGGGGCUAAACCAUGCACCGAAGCUGCGGCAGCGACACUGUGUGUUGUUGG